rnacentral:rRNA from 1 species
GACGGAGGGGGCAAACGUUGCUCGGAAUCAUUGGGCGUAAAGCGCACGUAGGCGGCCCGGUAAGUCGGAUGUGAAAGCCCUCGGAUCAACUGAGGAAGUGCAUUCGAAACUGCUGGACUUGAGUACGGGAGAGGGAUGCGGAAUUCCCGGUGUAGAAGUGAAAUUCGUAGAUAUCGGGAGGAACACCAGUGGCGAAGGCGGCAUCCUGGACCGAUACUUACGCUGAGGUGCGAAAGCGUGGGGAGCAAACAGG